rnacentral:rRNA from 1 species
AACGAACGCUGGCGGCGUGCUUAACACAUGCAAGUCGAACGCGAAAGGGACUUCGGUCCUGAGUAAAGUGGCGCACGGGUGAGUAACGCGUGGAUAAUCUACCCAAUGAUCUGGGAUAACAUUUCGAAAGGGGUGCUAAUACCGGAUAAGACCACGGGAUCUCUGGAUUCUGCGGUAAAAGGUGGGGACCUUCGGGCCUACCGUCAUCGGAUGAGUCCGCGUACCAUUAGCUAGUUGGCAGGGUAAUGGCCUACCAAGGCAAAGACGGGUAGGGGGCCUGAGAGGGUGACCCCCCACACUGGCACUGAAACACGGGCCAGACACCUACGGGAGGCAG